AAGGUUCUCCGUUUGGUGACCAGCGGAGGGACAUUACCGAGUUUACAACUCCCAACCCCUGUGAACAUUCCUUUUUGUUGCCUCGGCGGAUCAGCCCGCGCCCCGUGAGACGGGACGGCCCGCCGCAGGAACCACAAAACUCUGAUUUUAGUGUAACUUCUGAGUCUAAAAAACAAAUAAAUCAAAACUUUCAACAACGGAUCUCUUGGUUCUGGCAUCGAUGAAGAACGCAGCAAAAUGCGAUAAGUAAUGUGAAUUGCAGAAUUCAGUGAAUCAUCGAAUCUUUGAACGCACAUUGCGCCCGCCAGUAUUCUGGCGGGCAUGCCUGUUCGAGCGUCAUUUCAACCCUCAAGCCCCCGGGUUUGGUGUUGGGGAUCGGGCUGUACUCCAGCCCGGCCCCGAAAUCUAGUGGCGGUCUCGCUGCAGCCUCCAUUGCGUAGUAGCUAACACCUCGCAACUGGAACGCGGCGCGGCCAAGCCGUUAAACCCCCAACUUCUGAAUGUUGACCUCGGAUCAGGUAGGAAUACCCGCUGAAUUUUUAGAGA
rnacentral:rRNA from 1 species